rnacentral:rRNA from 1 species
UACGUAGGGUGCGAGCGUUGUCCGGAAUUAUUGGGCGUAAAGAGCUCGUAGGCGGCCUGUCGCGUCGGAUGUGAAAGCCCGGGGCUUAACCCCGGGUCUGCAUUCGAUACGGGCAGGCUAGAGUGUGGUAGGGGAGAUCGGAAUUCCUGGUGUAGCGGUGAAAUGCCCAGAUAUCAGGAGGAACACCGGUGGCGAAGGCGGAUCUCUGGGCCAUAACUGACGCUGAGAAGCGAAAGCAUGGGGAGCGAACAGG